rnacentral:rRNA from 1 species
GGGUUGUGAGGUUAAGCGACUAAGCGUACACGGUGGAUGCCCUGGCAGUCAGAGGCGAUGAAGGACGUGCUAAUCUGCGAUAAGCGUCGGUAAGGUGAUAUGAACCGUUAUAACCGGCGAUUUCCGAAUGGGGAAACCCAGUGUGAUUCGUCACACUAUCAUUAACUGAAUCCAUAGGUUAAUGAGGCGAACCGGGGGAACUGAAACAUCUAAGUACCCCGAGGAAAAGAAAUCAACCGAGAUUCCCCCAGUAGCGGCGAGCGAACGGGGAGCAGCCCAGAGCCUGAAUCAGUGUGUGUGUUAGUGGAAGCGUCUGGAAAGGCACGCGAUACAGGGUGACAGCCCCGUACACAAAAAUGCACAUGCUGUGAGCUCGAUGAGUAGGGCGGGACACGUGGUAUCCUGUCUGAAUAUGGGGGGACCAUCCUCCAAGGCUAAAUACUCCUGACUGACCGAUAGUGAACCAGUACCGUGAGGGAAAGGCGAAAAGAACCCCGGCGAGGGGAGUGAAAAAGAACCUGAAACCGUGUACGUACAAGCAGUGGGAGCAUGCUUAGGCGUGUGACUGCGUACCUUUUGUAUAAUGGGUCAGCGACUUAUAUUCUGUAGCAAGGUUAACCGAAUAGGGGAGCCGAAGGGAAACCGAGUCUUAACUGGGCGUUAAGUUGCAGGGUAUAGACCCGAAACCCGGUGAUCUAGCCAUGGGCAGGUUGAAGGUUGGGUAACACUAACUGGAGGACCGAACCGACUAAUGUUGAAAAAUUAGCGGAUGACUUGUGGCUGGGGGUGAAAGGCCAAUCAAACCGGGAGAUAGCUGGUUCUCCCCGAAAGCUAUUUAGGUAGCGCCUCGUGAAUUCAUCUCCGGGGGUAGAGCACUGUUUCGGCAAGGGGGUCAUCCCGACUUACCAACCCGAUGCAAACUGCGAAUACCGGAGAAUGUUAUCACGGGAGACACACGGCGGGUGCUAACGUCCGUCGUGAAGAGGGAAACAACCCAGACCGCCAGCUAAGGUCCCAAAGUCAUGGUUAAGUGGGAAACGAUGUGGGAAGGCCCAGACAGCCAGGAUGUUGGCUUAGAAGCAGCCAUCAUUUAAAGAAAGCGUAAUAGCUCACUGGUCGAGUCGGCCUGCGCGGAAGAUGUAACGGGGCUAAACCAUGCACCGAAGCUGCGGCAGCGACGCUUAUGCGUUGUUGGGUAGGGGAGCGUUCUGUAAGCCUGUGAAGGUGUGCUGUGAGGCAUGCUGGAGGUAUCAGAAGUGCGAAUGCUGACAUAAGUAACGAUAAAGCGGGUGAAAAGCCCGCUCGCCGGAAGACCAAGGGUUCCUGUCCAACGUUAAUCGGGGCAGGGUGAGUCGACCCCUAAGGCGAGGCCGAAAGGCGUAGUCGAUGGGAAACAGGUUAAUAUUCCUGUACUUGGUGUUACUGCGAAGGGGGGACGGAGAAGGCUAUGUUGGCCGGGCGACGGUUGUCCCGGUUUAAGCGUGUAGGCUGGUUUUCCAGGCAAAUCCGGAAAAUCAAGGCUGAGGCGUGAUGACGAGGCACUACGGUGCUGAAGCAACAAAUGCCCUGCUUCCAGGAAAAGCCUCUAAGCAUCAGGUAACAUCAAAUCGUACCCCAAACCGACACAGGUGGUCAGGUAGAGAAUACCAAGGCGCUUGAGAGAACUCGGGUGAAGGAACUAGGCAAAAUGGUGCCGUAACUUCGGGAGAAGGCACGCUGAUAUGUAGGUGAAGCGACUUGCUCGUGGAGCUGAAAUCAGUCGAAGAUACCAGCUGGCUGCAACUGUUUAUUAAAAACACAGCACUGUGCAAACACGAAAGUGGACGUAUACGGUGUGACGCCUGCCCGGUGCCGGAAGGUUAAUUGAUGGGGUUAGCGCAAGCGAAGCUCUUGAUCGAAGCCCCGGUAAACGGCGGCCGUAACUAUAACGGUCCUAAGGUAGCGAAAUUCCUUGUCGGGUAAGUUCCGACCUGCACGAAUGGCGUAAUGAUGGCCAGGCUG